rnacentral:rRNA from 1 species
GAUGGACGCUGGCGGCGUGCCUAAUACAUGCAAGUCGAGCGAACAGACGAGGAGCUUGCUCCUCUGACGUUAGCGGCGGGCGGGUGAGUAACACGUGGAUAACCUACCUAUAAGACUGGGAUAACUUCGGGAAACCGGAGCUAAUACCGGAUAAUAUAUUGAACCGCAUGGUUCAAUAGUGAAAGACGGUUUUGCUGUCACUUAUAGAUGGAUCCGCGCCGCAUUAGCUAGUUGGUAAGGUAACGGCUUACCAAGGCGACGAUGCGUAGCCGACCUGAGAGGGUGAUCGGCCACACUGGAACUGAGACACGGUCCAGACUCCUACGGGAGGCAGCAGUAGGGAAUCUUCCGCAAUGGGCGAAAGCUUGACGGAGCAACGCCGCGUGAGUGAUGAAGGUCUUCGGAUCGUAAAACUCUGUUAUUAGGGAAGAACAAAUGUGUAAGUAACUAUGCACGUCUUGACGGUACCUAAUCAGAAAGCCACGGCUAACUACGUG